rnacentral:rRNA from 1 species
UUUUUAUGGAGAGUUUGAUCCUGGCUCAGGAUGAACGCUGGCGGCGUGCCUAAUACAUGCAAGUCGAGCGAACGGACGAGAAGCUUGCUUCUCUGAUGUUAGCGGCGGACGGGUGAGUAACACGUGGAUAACCUACCUAUAAGACUGGGAUAACUUCGGGAAACCGGAGCUAAUACCGGAUAAUAUUUUGAACCGCAUGGUUCAAAAGUGAAAGACGGUCUUGCUGUCACUUAUAGAUGGAUCCGCGCUGCAUUAGCUAGUUGGUAAGGUAACGGCUUACCAAGG